UAACGCGAAGAACCUUACCAUCCCUUGACAUGUCGUGCCAUCCGGAGAGAUCCGGGGUUCCCUUCGGGGACGCGAACACAGGUGCUGCAUGGCUGUCGUCAGCUCGUGUCGUGAGAUGUUGGGUUAAGUCCCGCAACGAGCGCAACCCACGUCCUUAGUUGCCAUCAUUCAGUUGGGCACUCUAGGGAGACUGCCGGUGAUAAGCCGCGAGGAAGGUGUGGAUGACGUCAAGUCCUCAUGGCCCUUACGGGAUGGGCUACACACGUGCUACAAUGGCGGUGACAGUGGGACGCGAAACCGCGAGGUUGAGCAAAUCCCCAAAAACCGUCUCAGUUCAGAUUGCACUCUGCAACUCGAGUGCAUGAAGGCGGAAUCGCUAGUAAUCGUGGAUCAGCAUGCCACGGUGAAUACGUUCCCGGGUCUUGUACACACCGA
rnacentral:rRNA from 1 species